UACGUAGGGUGCGCGCGUUAAUCGGAAUUACUGGGCGUAAAGUGUGCGCAGGUGGCUUCGCAAGUCGAGUGUGAAAUCCCCGGGCUUAACCUGGGAAUUGCGCUCGAAACUACGGAGCUGGAGUGUGGCAGAGGAAGGUGGAAUUCCACGUGUAGCGGUGAAAUGCGUAGAGAUGUGGAGGAACACCAAUGGCGAAGGCAGCCUUCUGGGCCAACACUGACACUCAUGCACGAAAGCGUGGGGAGCAAACAGG
rnacentral:rRNA from 1 species